UUAGGCAGUGGAAAAUGACUCCAUAUGGAAAGCAUCUCUAUGCAAAAACAAGAGAAACAGAAAGGUGAAGAUCUCUCUGCGUGCUGGUGACCCGCAAGCUGCAUGCUGCAAGCACUGGCAAGCUGCAUCACAUCUCUGGACACCAGAAGUGAAUAAGGAAGCUGCAAGAAUCUCCCAGAAAACAGUCGCAUCUGUAGAGCUGGGAGUUGUGUUUUUGUUUUAGUCUCAUAAAAUAGUGGUGACAAGAA